CGGGGGAGCAAGCGUUGUUCGGAUUACUGGGCGUAAAGGGCGGGUAGGCGGCCACUGCAAGUCGGUUGUGAAAUCUCCGGGCUUAACUCGGAAAGGUCAAUCGAUACUGCAGGGCUAGAGUGCAGAAGGGGCAACUGGAAUUCUCGGUGUAGCGGUGAAAUGCGUAGAUAUCGAGAGGAACACCUGCGGCGAAGGCGGGUUGCUGGGCUGACACUGACGCUGAACUGCGAAAGCUAGGGGAGCGAACGGGAUUAGAUACCCCGGUAGUCCUAGCCUUAAACGAUGAAUGCUUGGUGUCUGGGGUUUUAUAGUCCCCGGGUGCCGUCGCUAACGCUUUAAGCAUUCCGCCUGGGGAGUACGGUCGCAAGACUG
rnacentral:rRNA from 1 species